AGAGCGAACGCUGGCGGCAGGCCUAACACAUGCAAGUCGAGCGCCCCGCAAGGGGAGCGGCAGACGGGAGAGUAACACGUGGGAACGUACCCUUCAGUUCGGAACAACCAAGGGAAACUUUGGCUAAUACCGGAUACGUCCGUAAGGAGAAAGAUUUAUCGCUGAAGGAUCGGCCCGCGUCUGAUUAGCUAGUUGGUGGGGUAAUGGCCCACCAAGGCGACGAUCAGUAGCUGGUCUGAGAGGAUGAUCAGCCUCAUUGGGACUGAGACACGGCCCAAACUCCUACGGGAGGCAGCAGUGGGGAAUAUUGGACAAUGGGCGCAAGCCUGAUCCAGCCAUGCCGCGUGAGUGAUGAAGGCCCUAGGGUUGUAAAGCUCUUUUGUGCGGGAAGAUAAUGACGGUACGCAAGAAUAAGCCCCGGCUAACUUCGCGCCAGCAGCCGC
rnacentral:rRNA from 1 species